rnacentral:rRNA from 1 species
ACGAACGCUGGCGGCGUGCUUAACACAUGCAAGUCGAACGGAAAGGCCCCGCUUUUGUGGGGUGCUCGAGUGGCGAACGGGUGAGUAACACGUGAGUAACCUGCCCUUGACUUUGGGAUAACUUCAGGAAACUGGGGCUAAUACCGGAUAGGAGCUCCUGCUGCAUGGUGGGGGUUGGAAAGUUUCGGCGGUUGGGGAUGGACUCGCGGCUUAUCAGCUUGUUGGUGGGGUAGUGGCUUACCAAGGCUUUGACGGGUAGCCGGCCUGAGAGGGUGACCGGCCACAUUGGGACUGAGAUACGGCCCAGACUCCUACGGGAGGCAGCAGUGGGGAAUAUUGCACAAUGGGCGGAAGCCUGAUGCAGCAACGCCGCGUGCGGGAUGACGGCCUUCGGGUUGUAAACCGCUUUCGCCUGUGACGAAGCGUGAGUGACGGUAAUGGGUAAAGAAGCACCGGCUAACUACGUG